rnacentral:rRNA from 1 species
CCUACGGGAGGCAGCAGUGAGGAAUAUUGGUCAAUGGACGAGAGUCUGAACCAGCCAAGUAGCGUGAAGGAUGACUGCCCUAUGGGUUGUAAACUUCUUUUAUACAGGAAUAAAACGAGGCACGUGUGCCUUUAUGCAUGUACUUUAUGAAUAAGGAUCGGCUAACUCCGUGCCAGCAGCCGCGGUAAUACGGAGGAUCCGGGCGUUAUCCGGAUUUAUAGGGUUUAAAGGGAGCGUAGAUGGGUUGUUAAGUCAGUGGUGAAGGUUUGCGGCUCAACCGUAAAAUUGCAAUUGAUACUGGCAGUCUUGAGUACAGUUGAGGUAGGCGGAAUUCGUGGUGUAGCGGUGAAAUGCUUAGAUAUCACGAAGAACCCCGAUUGCGAAGGCAGCUUACUAAACUGUGACUGACAUUGAUGCUCGAAAGUGUGGGUAUCAAACAGGAUUAGAUACCCUUGUAGUC